rnacentral:lncRNA from 1 species
UUUCAGAUACAAAAUGCCAAGUUUUUAACAAGUUUGAAGUAAUCAAAUUCUAUGUAUCUAAUCUAGUAAAUUUUUCGAGUUAAAAUCACUGGUCCCACCAAAAUAUUUGCCAAUCCUCCCAAUCUUACAAUUAAGAUUGUUGAUCCCACACAAUCCUACCAGAUUGCGGUUCUGUCUGUUAUUGGGAUAAUCCAAGUCGUCAAGGAUCUUACUUAUGAGUAAGAUCAUGAGUUUGACUACCUUGCCAAAUAAUUGUAACGUAUAAUUAUAACCCCAGUGUUUCUCAAAAUUAAACUGUUUGUCAUGGUGUGGGGAUUUCUUCAUAUGGUUUAUGGGAUGGUUAGAAAUUUAGACUGAAUCAUAUUUAUAGGAGUAUCUUACGCGGGUGCAAAGCUUGACUUUGUCUCUUUUAGGAGACAUCUUUGUUGGGCAUAAAAUGCAUGGCAACAAAGGAUGCAUUUCGACAUCAUUGUCUUUGUAGUGCAUACUCAAGGAGAUAGUAAGUAAUGGUGAUGGAGUGCAUGCGCACAAGCAUUGGUACUCAUGAGCCAGGCUCGCUUGUAUGUCUCUGGAAGAGAGAAUGCUACUCACGGCUUUUAAAGAGUCAAGGUUGAACUACAUUCUCAACCGGGACUCCUUACUAAGGUGUUACUGAAAACCUUGAUGUAGUAUCCUAGUAUUGAGAGCCAACAAAUCCAUUGAAAUGGUAGUGCCUUAGUUUUGGAGAAUGGACUAUUUCUCUAAUUCUCUAUUGAGUGUGGUACAAAAGGAGUCUGGUGUGAAUGAAGAGCACAAAGUGAUGUUCAUCAAGUGCACUUCUAGAGGGUUGCUGUCUUUGUGGUGGCUUAGCAACAUUUAUCUUGAUAUACUUCACCCAAAACAGAAGUUAUUGUUAGAAUUAUUUUGUUUAUCCCUUUUCAAAGUUGUUUUCUAUUUAAAUAUAACUUAGUGAUGUUGAUGUAAACCAAAAAUCAGAAUACACAAUUGUAACCGCAAGUUCUCAAAUCAUGGGGUUCUAACAGUGGCCCAAUAUGGAUGUAGUGCUCAAUAUAAGAUAUGUAAUUCUAGUUUUAGGUUUCUUGUUAUUUUUUAUUCAUAUCUUCUCUCAUUGCAGAAGAAAGUUGUGCAUUGUAGACUGUUUAGAUGAAACGCAAAUUGAUGUAAAAGAAGAGAAAAGAAACAGUAAUCAGGCCAGAUAAGGAACUGGAAAAAGAAGAAUUGAAACCCUCAAUGUUACUUGUUUUAUAAACCUGUUCUCUACCUGUGUUUCAUAAUGACAUUUGUUAAUGUUUCCAAUGUUUGUGUGGUUGUAGGUGGUCCACAAGCUGCAUGUAUGGGCUGUGCUGGCUUUGCCGCAUUCUCAGUCGUCAUAGAGAAGUUUCUAGAGAGGCAUCAAUAAGUGAAUUAACUUGGAUCAAUUUUGUAUUCUUCGAUCAUAGUUUAAGUUCUUGAUCAAAAUAUUUUGCCCAUACGAUAGAGGGACGUGAUAGGGAGCAAGACAAAUUGCAAUAUUAUUUCACAUCUGUAAUUUAUUUGUAUACAAUGUCAUUGGCGGAUGCAUUCUCCGAACUUGGGAAAGCUCUGUGAUGACAUGGUUUAGUAUUGGAAAAUGCCAAGCAUUACGAAAACCAUAGGGAGCAAUAAUUGUGAUGAACUCUUUAAAGUGCUUAGCACUCCUGUUUAGUGGUAAUAGUUAAUUUCAAUAGAUUUUUCUUUGUAAUUCAUUCUUUUUUUUUGGAAUAUUUAUGGAGUGUUCCUAGGCUUCUUAAAAUCCACCAUUGUUUUCCUUUUUAAAGAGAUAGAAUAUGCUGACAAAUAUAUGCUGAGUUCCGUUAUCUAAUUGUGCUUCUGUAACUACCACAACAAAAAAAAUAUGUUUUUCUAUCUUUAAAAAUGAAACAGUCAUGUUCUUGUGAAAAAAGAGAUAUUCCAAAUUUUGUCCUGAAAUGAUGUCAUACAGUGCAAACGUUACCACGGAAAAGAUAUCCCAACAUGUUUGUAUAGUUAUAUAAAGAUUUUUUCAAUAUAAGCCACACGAUGUAGAUAAUUAAAUUAGCCUAAGCAAUAAUGCAAUAGAAUAUUCACACAAUGGAUUCUUAUAAAACAACAUACACAGAUGAACAUAAAUUCAAACAUGUAACUUACUUUCAAAAUAUUGGAACUAAGCUUUCAACAUAAUCUAUGGCAUCGUCCCAAUAUGCAUUAUCUCUAGUUCUAUUAUCGGUAACAGGUCUACAUACAAUAAUUUAUGUUCGCUUAGUUCUGUUAUCUCUCCUAUUAUAGAGAAUUGUUUCAGAUUCUUCAAUUGAAUGAUACAACAUUUAAACAAACUUUUCAACAAACAGUUGAUAUGCAUGAAAAUAAGUCCCCAUUGGUUUUAGGUAUUUGACAUUGUGGAUUAUUAUUGUAUAUUGAAAACAUAGGAGCAAAAUAAAAGAGUAAUAAAUCAAAGCAAAAGAGAUUUGAACGAAGUUUUAGGGUUACUAACCAGAGGGGAGUCACAGCCGGAGAGAGGCGUAGUGAUUCUGAAUUUGAAGUAGCGCAAUACACAUGGUUUUCAGAUACAAAAUGCCAAGUUUUNAGAGAGAGAGAGAGAGAGAGAGAGAGAGAGAGAGAGAGAGAGAGAGGAAAAAAAUCAUUUGAGUUACUACAAACUAUGAAUACGGUGUUUGAUCACUUGAUUUUAAAAUCUUUGAACAAAAUAGUUAGGAUAACUUUUCGCUCAAUAACUCUCUUCAAUGGUUAUUCUCCCUAUAGAUGAGUAUAACCAUUGAAGGUUUAAGAAUUUCAAUGUAAGUAACAAUUAUAUAAUUAGUUUUAUGCCUAAACCUAAUCAAUAAUUGAACGGUUAAAAUAGGGUAAAUCUCAAAAUUAGGUUCAAAAAUCCUUGUUGAUCUAAAAUUGUAUUAUGGACAAAGUUAAGGUUAAUAAUCAUUAAACACGUAAAAAGCAUUAAGAAUAAGAUUAACCGAAUAAAAUAACUAAGUAAUUGACUAGAAUUCAAAGCAUCUUUUAAAGCUACGUGAACAAAUAAUUAAGAAAAGUUCCUCUUCCAUGACUUAACCUAGCAAGGAUUUAUCUACUAUAUAUAUAUAUAUAUAUAUAUAUAUAUAUAUAUAUAUAUAUAGUAGAUAAAAUAACACACAAAUACAAAUAAAAUAACACAGAAAAGGAUCAUCUGUUGAUGAUUCCUUGGCUCCCGAAUUGUUCCGGUCGCUUCAAUCCUUCGGAAAUCGUGUUUCUACCUUUGUAUGCUCGUCAAAAGGUGUUUUUCCAGUAACCUAUGGGUUCACUUUUUUAUAGGCAUCAAAUUUCCCAAGUUUUAGGGAAAUUGGUUCCCGAUACAAGUAUAUUCCUCGCGAUAUGAGGCAGCCAAUGAGCAUCCCUUUUUGGCAUGUCACUCUAUAUCGCGAUGUGGGGCUCACAACCCGCGAUGCGAGAUAGACAAUAGCGAUCAUCUUGGUUUCCAAUCGUAUUCGCGCGAUACGGGGCUCAUAGCUCGCGAUGCGAGUUAGGCAGAAGUUGAUUCCUUGGUUUCUUUAUUUCUUGCUUCAUUUCUUCUUGCCAAAACGUCGCUAACGAAUAUACCUCAAACUUAAUCAACGAUAAACUUAUAAUUUUAUUUUUAUCCUACUAAGUUAUAAUUUCUAAAUUGGUCCCCCAAACUUGAUUUCGGGCUCCGUUCCUAAAUUGCUGGAUUGCAUGAGCAUGGUCCAUGCCGCAGUAGAACCUCAUCAAGGCCAGUGUUCUUUUUUCCCUUAUAUUAGUAACAAACAAAUAGUGUGAACACAUUGCAUAAAUAGGAUAUGCUUGAUAGUUAAUUCCACCUUCUCAUUCUACACAAAGUAUGAAAAGAACCAAUUGAACUUGAGAUGCCGUUUACGUUCAUUUCCAAUUUCCAUCUAUUUUAUUAUUAAACAGGAAUGGCAACUUCCAAGUGCUUGAAAGUCCAUCACCUAAAAUUGACAAUUGUUAUCAGUCACUUUUUUUAAUAAUAUUUGUGACUCCACACAUGUACCUUUGUAAUAUAUACAAUUUAUAUCAUUUCAAUAUUAAUAGUCUGUGUCGUACACGGGACAUUAGACUGGUAAUAUUAUAUAAUUUAAAUCUUCGUUUUUUAUUUUGAAAUUAAAUCAUCUUUGAAAUUUAUAACUCGCAAAAACUUGUAAAACAUAAGUUUUAUGAUGAUAUAAUUAAAAGUGAUAUAAGAAUUAAAACAUAACCAGUAAAAAUUAAUUUGAUUCAUAUUUUUUUCUUAGGGAUGAUCAAAACUCAUCUUAAAUUGGAUUUCUCGGAAACAUAAUAUUAGAGGUACGAAUAUGUUAAAAAUAGUGUCAAAUAAUGAAUAUACAUCCUUGUACCUAAAUAAUACUCCUAAGUAGAUAUAUGAAAACAUAUACUCCCUCCGUUUUUAAAUAUAAGCAAAAUUGACUUUUUAGAUUCAUUAAAUUAAUGAUGUAUAUAGUCCAUAAUAUAAACCACAUACAUCAUUAAUUAAAUGAACCUAAAAAAUCACUUUUACUUAUAUUUAAAAACGGAUGGAGUAUAGAGUAAUGAAUAUAAUUAACUAAAAAAAUUAUGAGUAUACAUCCUCCAUCAUAAAAGAAUGAAUAUACACCAUAGCUUCGAAUUAAAAUUAAUGCUUGAGAAAAAAUCAAUUUUAAACUUCGUAUAUAAUCUAUAAAAACAAGAUUUCUUAUAUCUAUCCAAACUUUUUCUUAUAUAAAAUCAAACUUUUAUUUUGACAAAAGAAAAAAAUCAAACUUAAGAAUGGGUACUCCCCCUAAUAUACACCCAUCGUUUCGUGAUACACACACUAAAUACUAAUUGAAAAAUAUAUAAUUUUAUAUAUAAAAUUUAUCCUCAUGAGAAAAUUUCAAUUAAAAUAUGUUGCUCCAUAAUAGUUAGACAGUGACGUAAAUACAUUUGAACCAAAUUAAUUUUUUUUAACCAAGGAUGCACGCAACUUAGGAGAUUGAUCCUCACAUAUUUACUUAAGCUAUUAAUCUCUUCUAACAUAUAUGUUUUCAUAUACACAAGUCAGAGAACGAACUUUAUACACACACAAAAAAAAAAUUGUAUAUGUAUGUUGAGAACAAACUCACAACGUCCAAAUUAAUAGCAUAUAAUGACAAAAUGACUACAAAAAAUAUGAUGAAAUCUAAAUCAUCAUAAUAUUCAUGCUUCCGGAUCUGCAACGUUGGCGUCCAAAUCAUUGAUUGAAUCUGUGAUUGACUGAAGCUAAUCUUUCAAUAUGAAUCAAACAAACACUGCAACAAAAUGUGAAAUCAAACAAUGCCGCACAAGACGACGAACAACACAACGCCGCACUCGGACGACGAAAUCACGAAACAAAACACAAAAAAAACACUUGAUAUAUGUGGAAAUCACUUAUUUAGAUUGAAAGAAAAUGGAAAAAAGGAUGCACAGGGUGAUUCUAGGUCAAAAAAUGAUCUAAAACCACCCCUCCUCGACGAGUGAAAGAGAAAUAAAACUUAAAGAAGUUAGAGUUUCUCUCACUAAAAAACUAGGGUCGGCUCGCAAACAAAUUACACUCUUAAAAUAAAUAGAAAUUUUAAAACUGAUCAUUGAAUGUAUAUUUUUUUACAAUCAUAACCCUUUUACUUUUUACAACAAAUUAAACAAAUAAAUUUAAAAUAAUAAUAUCAAGCUAUCAUUGUCUUGUGUAGGGGUGACCCAAUAAGAUUACAUUUUUAAUUAAUCUUGGAAGGCAUGAAACACCAUGCUUUUCUAUUGACCAUUAGAGAUUUCAGAAAGCAACCGUUAUUAUCUCAAAUAACAUUCGAACAAUAAUUGCAUGUUUUUCCAAGCCCAUGCAACAACUAUAAAUAGUUAAAGCUUUCUCUCAUUUUUCCACAAGCAAAACACAAAUCGUUUAUUCCAUUCUAUCUUUCAUUCUCUCAAACUUCUACUAAAAUUACUUCAAUUCAAUCCAAUGGCAUCUUUCCAAUCCUUCAACUUUGAAACUGAAAUUCCACAAGAGCUUCUCAUAUCUCAAAUCAUGCAAAUUCAUACAACCAUUUCUAAGCUAGAAUCUCUUAGGCCUUCAAAACAAGUCAACACCCUUUUGACUCACUUAGUCAAACUUUGCAUCCUCCCUUCAUCCAUUGAGAUUGAAGCCUUGCCACAAGAGGUUAAGACAAUGCGUGAAAGCCUCAUUCCCAUUUGUGGCAAAGCUGAAGGACUUUUGGAGCUUGAAUUCUCAACUUUCAUUAGCCAAACACCAAAUCCAGCAAAAAAUUUAACACUUUUCCCUUACUAUGGAAACUAUGUUAAACUAGCAAACUAUGAAAACAAAAUCCUCAAAGAAAAUGGUGUAGUGGAUGCAAAAAAAGUAGCUUUUAUAGGAUCUGGUCCAAUGCCACUAAGUUCAAUUAUAUUGGCAACUCAUCACAUGGAAUCAACUCACUUUGAUAAUUUUGAUAUCGAUGAGAAAGCUAAUGAGGUUGCUAGCAAGAUCGUGGCUUCGGAUAAAGCACUUGAAAAGAGGAUGAAAUUUGUGACACAAGAUAUAAUGGAAGCUAAGGAGAGGUUAGGGCAAUAUGAUUGCAUUUUUUUGGCAGCACUUGUUGGUAUGCGUAGAAGUGAAAAAGUGAAGAUUUUGGGACAUAUAAGUAAGUAUAUGAAGGAAGGUAGUGUUUUGCUUGUAAGAAGUGCAAAAGGGAGUAGAGCUUUUUUGUAUCCUAUUGUUGAGGAGAAUGAUAUGGUAAAUUUUGAGGUGCUUACAAUUUUUCAUCCAACGGAUGAUGUUAUCAACUCGGUUAUUCUUCUUCGCAAACCUAAAGCUUGAUCAAUAAGCUAAGUUACCAAAUAAGUUGAAUUUCUACUUGAAGAAGAAUCUAUUUAUAGUGUAGAUUCAAAUGUGUGUUGUUCUUUUGAUUGAAAGUGUUUCUUUUCCUAUGAUAUACUUUGUAUAAUUAGUGAGGUUUAGUGUUAUGUUCUAGUGCUUGCCUCAUUCGUCUUACUUUAUAAGAUGAUUGAAGAUUAUGUAUCGUAAUUCCAAAUAAUAAAUGAACAAGCUUUGUGUUUAUUUUUUAAUUGUUUUACUUUUUUUUAGAAAAGAAGGUGCUAAUCCCCAAAGACUACAAUGGAACAAACCUGAGAGAUUUGAUUCAAAGGUUGAUCAAAAACCUUCAUCGAAGUAACUUCACACGUCAUAAGCAUCUGCUACCUUGUUUGCUUGACAAUACAUAUAGCAAAUACUUGAUGGGAUAAAACCACAAGUGCACGGUUCUACUGAAGUAGUAAAAAUAGAGUAUCGUUUCGAUAGGGAGUUGUUCAAUUCAAUUAACUUUAGUUGAUGAUUAGAAAAGGUUAAGUUGCAAAGUUGGGGUUUUCAAACGGUUAAAAGAAAAUAUAAUAAUAAAAAAGAGCCUUGGGAUUAUUGGUUCAUCAUAAUGACAAACCCUUCACAAACCAAAACCUUAAACCUAUAACUUUAUGUUAGACCUACUUUCUAAUGACAAAUUUCUCUUUAGUCUAUCACAUCUCCUUUCGGUCUCGGUGAGUGUGUUUCUCUAGCAACCACGACUAUUUUCAUGGUUGAUUGCUAUUGAAAUCCUUCAAGCUCGAAACUUUAUUGUCUCAAGGUUUGCUAGACUAUUUUAAUGUUUUGCAAUCCUUAUCUAUAUUCACUUGUUCCAAUAUUAAAACUUCAUCUUUCGAUCAUUCGCUUAAUAUUUGUGAUAAAUCAAUAACAACUAUUAAACUUCAUCUUUCAAUCCUUCGAUUAAUACUUGUUAUUGAUUAUAAGAACGGUGAAAUAGAUUAGAAAUCAAGGUUACAUAAAAUUAGGGAUUAAAGCUUGGUUUGAUUAGGAUUAUGUCAUUAGACUUAUCCAACAAUCUCAAGACAAGAAGAGUCUACUCACUCAUGUUCAUCGUAGACAUUGAGAAGAAGAAGAAGAAAAGCAUAAAGUAAAUAACAAAGAAAUAAAGAAAUAACUUUUAUUAAGAAAGACAAUUGUCACUGAUUGAAUUCCAAGAACAAAAAAUGAAUUGUUGUGAUAGCUCGCUACUCUAUUUAGUCUUAUGUCGACUUAAAACCUAAGGAACUAUUCACUAGAAUGUUCAACAAGAAACCACAGACUUUUAGGUCAAAAUAGGUAGCUUGUUUCCGAAGCAAAAGCAGCAAAAGAGCACCCUGAAGCUUGGCACGGGCCGUGCUGCUGGUGGCACGGGCCGUGCCUCCUCGCUGACCUGGGGAGUGACAUAUUUUUGUCCCAUAUUUCAUAUUUUCAUCCUGAAUCAACUUCUAAUCCUCUUUCUUUUGCUCUAAGACUCAAUCUAUCAAACAUUCGUUCCUGAAAUAUAAUAAUUUGCAAUUGAAGUAAAAUAGUUCUAAAAGGAAAUAAUAUUUAAAUAAAAUAAACUUAAAUCUAAGUAAAACGGAAUCAAAUAUUAUAUUAAAACUACUAAUUAUUGACUCAUCAAUACUCAUCCUCAAAUAUCUUUAAGGAAACAUUUUGAUUUCUUUGAAUCAAAUUAAAACCAAAUCCACCGCUAUUUUAUCCUGUUCAAGGUAUUAACACCCGCUUGAGGGUCAAUUCGAAGCUCAAUCAUCCAGAAACCCUGCACUUUGUGUAAUUUAAGUGUUAAUAGAAAGGAUGUCUUAAUGCCACAUAAAUGACAAUUUAUAAAUGUAAAUAAAGGACAAAAGGCAUAGAACUUGCAAAAGAAAUAAUAAUUUCAAAACAUGAAUAAAAAGAGGAACCAAAUUAUAUACUAAAAAUUAGUAGCAUGCUGAGCAAGUUUGUCAAAUAUAUAUAAUAUUUUAUAUAUAGAUUUUUUCAAUAUAAGCCAGACGAUGUAGAUAAUUAAAUUAGCCUAAGCAAUAAUGCAAUAGAAUAUUCACACAAUGGAUUCUUAUAAAACAACAUACACAGAUGAACAUAAAUUCAAACAUGUAACUUACUUUCAAAAUAUUGGAACUAAGCUUUCAACAUAAUCUAUGACAUCGUCCCAAUAUGCAUUAUCUCUAGUUCUAUUAUCGGUAACAGGUCUACAUACAAUAAUUUAUGUUCGCUUAGUUCUGUUAUCUCUCCUAUUAUAGAGAAUUGUUUCAGAUUCUUCAAUUGAAUGAUACAACAUUUAAACAAACUUUUCAACAAACAGUUGAUAUGCAUGAAAAUAAGUCCCCAUUGGUUUUAGGUAUUUGACAUUGUGGAUUAUUAUUGUAUAUUGAAAACAUAGGAGCAAAAUAAAAGAGUAAUAAAUCAAAGCAAAAGAGAUUUGAACGAAGUUUUAGGGUUACUAACCAGAGGGGAGUCACAGCCGGAGAGAGGCGUAGUGAUUCUGAAUUUGAAGUAGCGCAAUACACAUGGUUUUCAGAUACAAAAUGCCAAGUUUUUAACAAGUUUGAAGUAAUCAAAUUCUAUGUAUCUAAUCUAGUAAAUUUUUCGAGUUAAAAUCACUGGUCCCACCAAAAUAUUUGCCAAUCCUCCCAAUCUUACAAUUAAGAUUGUUGAUCCCACACAAUCCUACCAGAUUGCGGUUCUGUCUGUUAUUGGGAUAAUCCAAGUCGUCAAGGAUCUUACUUAUGAGUAAGAUCAUGAGUUUGACUACCUUGCCAAAUAAUUGUAACGUAUAAUUAUAACCCCAAUGUUUCUCAAAAUUAAAGUGUUUGUCAUGGUGUGGGGAUUUCUUCAUAUGGUUUUUGGGAUGGUUAGAAAUUUAGACUGAAUAAUAUUUAUAGGAGUAUCUUAGGCGGGUGCAAAGCUUGAUUUUGUCUCUUUUAGGAGACAUCUUUGUUGGGCAUAAAAUGCAUGGCAACAAAGGAUGCAUUUCGACAUCAUUGUCUUUGUAGUGCAUACUCAAGGAGAUAGUAAGUAAUGGUGAUGGAGUGCAUGCACACAAGCAUUGGUACUCAUGAGCCAGGCUCGCUUGUAUGCCUCUGGAAGAGAGAAUGCUACUCACGGCUUUUAAAGAGUCAACGUUGAACUGCAUUCUCAACAGGGACUCCUUACUAAGGUGUUACUGAAAACCUUGAUGUAGUAUCCUAGUAUUGAGAGCCAACAAAUCCAUUGAAAUGGUAGUGCCUUAGUUUUGGAGAAUGGACUAUUUCUCUAAUUCUCUAUUGAGUGUGGUACAAAGGGAGUCUGGUGUGAAUGAAGAGCACAAAGUGAUGUUCAUCAAGUGCACUUCUAGAGGGUUGCUGUCUUUGUGGUGGCUUAGCAACAUUUAUCUUGAUAUACUUCACCCAAAACAGAAGUUAUUGUUAGAAUUAUUUUGUUUAUCCCUUUUCAAAGUUGUUUUCUAUUUAAAUAUAACUUAGUGAUGUUGAUGUAAACCAAAAAUCAGAAUAGACAAUUGUAACCGCAAGUUCUCAAAUCAUGGGGUUCUGACAGUGGCCCAAUAUGGAUGUAGUGCUCAAUAUAAGAUAUGUAAUUUUAGUUUUAGGUUUCUUGUUAUUUUUUAUUCAUAUCUUCUCUCAUUGCAGAAGAAAGUUGUGCAUUGUAGGCUGUUUAGAUGAAACGCAAAUUGAUGUAAAAGAAGAGAAAAGAAACAGUAAUCAGGCCAGAUAAGGAACUGGAAAAUGAAGAAUUGAAACCCUCAAUGUUGCUUGUUUUAUAAACCUGUUCUCUACCUGUGUUUCGUAAUGACAUUUGUUAAUGUUUCCAAUGUUUGUGUGGUUGUAGGUGGUCCACAAGCUGCAUGUAUGGGCUGUGCUGGCUUUGCCGCAUUCUCAGUCGUCAUAGAGAAGUUUCUAGAGAGGCAUCAAUAAGUGAAUUAACUUGGAUCAAUUUUGUAUUCUUCGAUCAUAGUUUAAGUUCUUGAUCAAAAUAUUUUGCCCAUACGAUAGAGGGACGUGAUAGGGAGCAAGACAAAUUGCAAUAUUAUUUCACAUCUGUAAUUUAUUUGUAUACAAUGUCAUUGGCGGAUGCAUUCUCCGAACUUGGGAAAGCUCUGUGAUGACAUGGUUUAGUAUUGGAAAAUGCCAAGCAUUACGAAAACCAUAGGGAGCAAUAAUUGUGAUGAACUCUUUAAAGUGCUUAGCACUCCUGUUUAGUGGUAAUAGUUAAUUUCAAUAGAUUUUUCUUUGUAAUUCAUUCUUUUUU